CGUCUAGACGCUAGAUAUUCACAUUCGUACGGAGUCUUGCUUCUACAAAUAUACCACAACUAUAUCACCAUCGUCAAUCGAUUCGCUUAUCAGGAACGACCCUUUCAAUCCAUGUGUGAGUAGGUGCUGGCGUGUUUACUCUGGCUGCCUUUCAAACUGAUUCAAAUGAGGUUUCAUCACUGCUGGUAUUCAUCAUAUAGUCAUGUCCUUUAAUUCACAUUACUAACCGGAUACUUCUGAAUGUAAAUAGAAAUUAUUAAACAUCGAAAAUCUUAUCAAUAAAGUUUAAAUAUGUAUGUGUAAUUCUUGUACCUGCAAAACACUAUUUUAACGUAUGCCCUGCAUAUGUGAAUCUACUUGAUAUUUCAACUGUUCGACUUUGAAUAACUAUUAAAUUAUUUAAUGUUACACUAACCCAAAAAAUAAUUCUGAUCACUAACAAAUAAGCAAAGCAAAGU